AAAGUCGUAACAAGGUUUCCGUAGGUGAACCUGCGGAAGGAUCAUUAUCAGAUGGCCCAAUGGGCCAUCCAAAGCCGCCCUUGAUUUUUAGCCUGUCGUUGGGCUAUCCCGGCAGGCGUCCCUGCCGGCGGAGACCCCGAAACUCUUGAAAUACCAGCACAAUCGUCUGACGAACUACCCAUGUUAAAACUUUCAACAAUGGAUCUCUUGGCUCCG
rnacentral:misc_RNA from 1 species